CUGGAGUUAUACUCCCAAAGACAAGGCAGGGCUCCUCUCUGAUGUGGCAAACAAGGCUAGAUUCUUACCUAGGAUGCCGGAAUUAACAAAAUGUACCAAGCUGAAAUACUCAAGCAGAUCAUUCUGGAUGGGAGUUCCGGAGAUGAGCACCCGCCGGCUGGUGUUCAAGCUGUCCAGGGCUUGACUGCUGAGAGUCAAGUACCUCGUCACAUAUGACCAGACCAACACUUCCUUUCUGGAGGACUCCAACAUGAAGGCGGAAGGUCUCAUAGGAAAUGAUGAGGAUGGGAGAAGACACCCUGGCUCCACGCUGGUUCAUGAAUCCUUCUACAACAGAAAAGGUGUCAAGGGAACAAUUCAGAAUCUUUUGAAAAAAAAAAAAACAAUUAGACAGUUCUUUAAUUUAGCCUGGAAACAACUGACUCCACUUCAACUAUUUUCAAUGGAAAUUCUCUUUUCUUCUACCCCUGCAUUGCCCUCCACCCUGGCCAUAAAUGAGCAUACACGUAAGAAA